UAACUGAUAAUUUAAUAAGUAGAAUAAUAGGGUAACGCCUUGAAAUGCUUACUCUGAUACUCCGAUUGGCACGAUUAUGAUUAAGCAUAAAAGUGUCAAAAGCUCGGUGAAGUCGGCUGAGAGUACACCCUAACGAGUAAUGUCGAGGAAAUGCGAACCAGAGGUGGUCGAGUGUAUGAUAGGUCGGGAGUCCAUAAA
rnacentral:ncRNA from 1 species